rnacentral:misc_RNA from 1 species
UACGGAGGGCGCAAGCGUUGCUCGGAAUCACUGGGCGUAAAGCGCACGCAGGCGGCUUGGCAAGUCGGGUGUGAAAGCCCUGGGCUCAACCCAGGAACUGCAUUCGAAACUGCCAGGCUUGAGUACGGGAGAGGGUGGUGGAAUUCCUGGUGUAGAGGUGAAAUUCGUUGAUAUCAGGAGGAACACCGGCGGCGAAGGCGGCCACCUGGCCCGUAACUGACGCUCAUGUGCGAAAGCGUGGGGAGCAAACAGG